UCGAAGGAUGCUGAUGUGACUUAUGGAAAAGGAAAGAAGAAGCAAAUGCCAGGGUGUUCCCUCUCGUUCAGAGUGGCAGCUGGCCUGGAGAACUUGGGGCUGUCUGAUAGGAACGUGUUCCAAGUAAGAGGACUCAGAAAAGGUUUCAACAAUAUGUGCCCUUAGGAAGAACCAGAACCCUGCUCCCAGGAUCCCUCAUUGUUUCCACGUUGUACUUCUAUUGGUCAUGAUGCUCUGGCUGCCAAUAACAGGAAAUCCCGCCCUGAAUGGCUUGAACAAGCCAGGCACCUAAAAGAUAUUUUAAAAAUUCCUGCUAAACAUGAAUCCAGUAAUUCUCUGGCUGCUUCCUCAGUGUGUGAUUUUUCUCCCCCACUAGACUGCGAAUUCCAAGGACAGCCAUUACUCAUGUUUUCUCCUUCCUGUGUACCU